rnacentral:rRNA from 1 species
AAACAUGGCGGUUUGAUUAUUAAUUUAACGUCUGACCUGCCCACUGAUAUUGAAGGGCCGCAGUAUUUUGACUGUGCAAAGGUAGCAUAAUCAUUAGGUUCUUGAUUAGAAUCUGGUAUGAAAGGUUUAACGAAAUAUUAACUGUCUCUGUUUGAUGUAUUUAAUUUAACUUUUUAGUAAAAAGGCUAAUAUUUAAAUGAGGGACGAGAAGACCCUAUAGAGCUUGAUAGUUGUUUUAUGGCAUUUAGAUAGUUUUUGAAUAAUUGUUGUUAUGAUAACUGUUUUACUGGGGCGGUACUAAGAUAAAUUUAACUCUUGUUUUGUUAAUAAAGAUAGUUAGAUAAUUGAAUCAUUCUAAUUGAUUUUAGAUAAAGUUACCUUAGGGAUAACAGCGUAAUUUAUUUGGAGAGUCCUUAUUGAUAAAUAUGUUUGCGACCUCGAUGUUGAAUUAAGAAUUCAGGGGGAUGGAGCAGUUUCCGUUGAGAGUCUGUUCGACUCUAAAAUUCUUACGUGAUCUGAG